CCUACGGGGGGCUGCAGUGGUGAAUUUUGGACAAUGGGGGCAACCCUGAUCCAGCCAUGCCGCGUGCGGGAAGAAGGCCUUCGGGUUGUAAACCGCUUUUGUCAGGGAAGAAAUCUUCCGAGCUAAUACCUUGGGAGGAUGACGGUACCUGAAGAAUAAGCACCGGCUAACUACGUGCCAGCAGCCGCGGUAAUACGUAGGGUGCAAGCGGUGAUCAGAGUUUGUGGGCGUAAAGCGGGAGCACACGGGUGAAAUCCCCGGGCUUAACCUGGGAACUGCACUUGUGACUGUACGGCUGGAGUACGGCAGAGGGGGAUGGAAUUCCGCGUGUAGCAGUGAAAUGCGUAGAUAUGCGGAGGAACACCGAUGGCGAAGGCAGUCCCCUGGGCCUGUACUGACGCUCAUGCACGAAAGCGUGGGGAGCAAACAGGAUUAGAUACCCUGGUAGUC
rnacentral:rRNA from 1 species